ACACGUAGGGGGCGAGCGUUGUCCGGAAUUACUGGGCGUAAAGGGCGCGUAGGCGGCCUAAUAAGUCAGAUGUGAAAACCCAAGGCUUAACCAUGGGAUUGCAUUUGAAACUGUUGAGCUUGAGGGCAGGAGAGGAAAGCGGAAUUCCCAGUGUAGCGGUGAAAUGCGUAGAUAUUGGGAGGAACACCAGUGGCGAAGGCGGCUUUCUGGACUGAACCUGACGCUGAGGCGCGAAAGCCAGGGUAGCGAACGGGAUUAGAUACCCCGGUAGUCCUGGCCGUAAACGAUGGAUACUAGGUGUGGGAGGUAUCGACCCCUUCCGUGCCGCAGCAAACGCAAUAAGUAUCCCGCCUGGGGAGUACGGCCGCAAGGCUGAA
rnacentral:rRNA from 1 species